CAUCCUCAUCCUCACCUGUGCGGAAAAGUUCAUCACCUGCUCCUGUGACUGCUACAUCAUCCUCAUCCUCACCUGUGAGGAAAAGUUCAUCACCUGCCCCUGUGACUGCUACAUCAUCCUCAUCCUCACCUGUGAGGCAGCGUUCAUCAAGAAAAAGACAGCAGGAGAGGUUUCAGUCAAGAUUGGUCAAACUACGGGAACAUCAUAACAAUUGCUCCAAGCGCUUCAAUAGAGCAGAAGUUGAAAAAACCAACAGAACAAAAAAGACUGCCAUACUUGAGGAUUGCGUUGUAUUCGAGUCUUCUGAUGCACCAUGUGCUAUGUGUACCUCUGUAAAGGCAUCACCACCCUCUCGCCCUUCUCCACUCCCCUCAUCAUCAUCAUCAUCAGCUGCCCCUGUGAUGGGCACAUCAUCUUCAUCCUCCCCAUCAUCACCUGCCCCUUUGCCCUGUGAUGCAUCCACUUCUGUGAUCUCUCCAUCACAGGUGUCCCAGAGACUCUCAAUAAGGGAGGUUCAUCAAUCCCUUCAAAAAGAAAAUGGGAGGACUCUGAGGUAAAAGCAGUUGAAAAACAUAUGAUGAAGUUCAUAAAGACCUGCAGAGUUCCUGGUAAGCAAGACUGUGAGAGAUGCAUUAAAGCAGAGUCAGAAGCCUUAAAGGAACGAACAUGGACUGGUGUGAAAAAUUAUGUGCGGAACAGGAUCACAACUUGAGGUGGAUUUUAGAGGCUACAUUGCCUUUUACUGUAAAGUGAAGAACAUGGUGAGGAAAAUGUUAAAAGCAUCAAUGCCAUUUACACCAUAUCAAACUUUAAUAACUUCUGUAAGGCCCUGUUAUACCCCGUUUUAACACUUUCCACAUCAUGCUCAUCAUUUUAAAGAAAUUAGAUAAAAGUUUAAGUAGAAAGAUGUAUAAAGAGAGAGAAUUUGUUUGAGGACAGAAGGAAACACAAUGUUAACGAAGUAAACUAGACAGGAGAAGAGAGCGGAGUAAACAUAAUAUUGAAGUGAUGGAUUAUGAGAAAGGACGAAGAGUCUAGAAAAAGACACUGCACUGACAAACUUUUCAUUGUUUUUAUUGUUCAAUUCAUUUUAGCAUGUUGCCUUCGCUAUUUCAGAUGUGCACUUUCACAAUGUGUGAAUAUUGUUUAUUUGAAAGUGAAAGUGAUGUGACAUACAGCCAAGUAUGGUGACCCAUACUCAGAAUUCGUGCUCUGUAUUUAACCCAUCUAAAGUGCACACACACACCGUGAACACACACCCGGAGCAGUGGGCAGCCAUUUAUGCUGCGGCGCCCGGGGAGCAGUUGGGGGUUCAGUGCCUUGCUCAAGGGCACCUCAGUCGUGGUAUUGCCAGCCCGAGACUCGAACCACCAACCUUAGGGUUAGGAGUCAAACUCUCUAACCACUAGGCCAUGACUUCCCCUAUUUGUUCAGUAAUCACAACUGUUUAAUAUAGUUAGAAGAUCACAUGGAUCAGCAGAAGUAAAGGGAUGAAAGAGGGAGGAGUGUAGGUAAAGGUGAAGAAAAGGAGGAGCCAAGGUAAAGCAGAAUAAAGAGGGAGGAGUGUAGGUAAAGAGGUGUGUUUGAGUUG
ensembl:lncRNA